AAUCACUAAAAUAUUUUGAGAGUCCGUAAAAAGUUAUGUGAUUACUGAAUUGAUGAAAAAUUCCGCUAUCGUGUAGCACGCGAAUACCGAACAAUUACAAACUUUAUUGAUAUACAAACUUGUUCUUGCGGUUUAAACUGCUGGUGAAUUUGACUAAUAACUACCGAAUUAUAAAUAUUUUGGAUAUUCAGGAAUUUGGAUGUUUUUUUU